rnacentral:tRNA from 1 species
GCCUUCGUGGUGUAAUGGCCAGCACACUCGGAGCAGUUGUAUUCAAGAAGUCUGAGGUUCGAGUCCCACCGAGGGCA